rnacentral:rRNA from 1 species
CUUUGUGGAUCAGUGCGAACGGGUGAGUAACACGUGAGCAACCUGCCCUGGACUCUGGGAUAAGCGCCGGAAACGGCGUCUAAUACUGGAUAUGAGCCUCUUCCGCAUGGUGGGGGUUGGAAAGAUUUUUGGUUCUGGGAUGGGCUCGCGGCNUAUCAGCUUGUUGGUGAGGUAAUGGCUCACCAAGGCGUCGACGGGUAGCCGGCCUGAGAGGGUGACCGGCCACACUGGGACUGAGACACGGCCCAGACUCCUACGGGAGGCAGCAGUGGGGAAUAUUGCACAAUGGGCGGAAGCCUGAUGCAGCAACGCCGCGUGAGGGAUGACGGCCUUCGGGUUGUAAACCUCUUUUAGCAGGGAAGAAGCGAAAGUGACGGUACCUGCAGAAAAAGCGCCGGCUAACUACGUGCCAGCAGCCGCGGUAAUACGUAGGGCGCAAGCGUUAUCCGGAAUUAUUGGGCGUAAAGAGCUCGUAGGCGGUUUGUCGCGUCUGCUGUGAAAUCCCGAGGCUCAACCUCGGGCCUGCAGUGGGUACGGGCAGACUAGAGUGCGGUAGGGGAGAUUGGAAUUCCUGGUGUAGCGGUGGAAUGCGCAGAUAUCAGGAGGAACACCGAUGGCGAAGGCAGAUCUCUGGGCCGUAACUGACGCUGAGGAGCGAAAGGGUGGGGAGCAAACAGGCUUAGAUACCCUGGUAGUCCACCCCGUAAACGUUGGGAACUAGUUGUGGGGACCAUUCCACGGUUUCCGUGACGCAGCUAACGCAUUAAGUUCCCCGCCUGGGGAGUACGGCCGCAAGGCUAAAACUCAAAGGAAUUGACGGGGACCCGCACAAGCGGCGGAGCAUGCGGAUUAAUUCGAUGCAACGCGAAGAACCUUACCAAGGCUUGACAUACACCAGAACGGGCCAGAAAUGGUCAACUCU